AAACCUAACCCUAACUUUUGCUCCUCCCCCUCCCGCACACUACUCACCCCGGCUGCCUCCACGACUCCACCUGCACCUGCUUGCUCGCUCCCUCUCCGUGGGGAGGCAGAGCGCAUCGGCGGGGGUCCAGCGGCGAUGGUGAGGCGCUCAUGUCCCCUGGCCCGAUGGCAAGGACGUGCUGCGGUGGCCUCCCUAUCGGAGCCGGGACUGGGGUGAGGCGAGGCGUUGUCGCUCCCCAUCGGAGCCGGGACGAGGUGAGGUGGGGCGCCGUGAGGAGGGAGCAGGAGCGGCUGGGUGCGAGACUGGGGCCAGGAUGCCCCUUUCCCCUUAGAUUCAGAUUCGUGCGCCGCUCAUCUCUCCCCUUCCCGACGCCUCCCUCCACCUCCUCCAUAGUCGCCGCGAUGCCUCCCUCCCCACAGACACCUCCUGGCGGGCAGCCAGAUCCCCUAACGGCAGCCACAUCCCCAGCCAUCUGCCCCUUGUGGGCCGACAGCGGGCGGAGGUGAGGCUGCACGCGUCCUCCAGUGGAGUCUCCACGCUGUGGACCUGCGACUCCUGCUGGUGGUGGCCGUCAGCUAUCUAGAUCUGCGGUGGCUUCGUUCACCCUGCUGACAGUUGCUGCUUUUCUUCGAUUUGGGUUACUCGGUGCGGUUCAGUUGAAUCCCAUUCCUUCCUGCGAUCUCUCCAUAGAUACCUGUGAUUUGAUUUGGGUUCUAGUUGAUGCAUCGCGUUGAGAGCUUCCAUUCAAUGUGGAUUUGAGUUGAUGCGUUCUGUUAUUGAAUUGGGUGCAGGACGAAAACCAAAAUGAAUGUCCAAUUAUCUUAUUUAUGUGUAGAACUGCAGUUCCAUUGUCCAAUUAUCUUAUUUAUGUGUAGAACUGUAGAACUACUAAGGUGAAGCCUUGCAAUUUAUUUACUACUUGAAAUUUAGCUGCUCAUGUUCUUAGCUGCUAACUUGACAUAUAAACUUAAGAUGAGCAUGCUAUACUUGUGCUAAGUUAGGUGCUGCUCUUGUGUUUAAAUAAUUUUUCUGCCAAGUUAUGUGCAUGUUACCUUGUAUUUCAAAUAUGACCAAUAUUUGAGUGGUAGGCUGGUAGCAGUAGUAAUUAGCAAGUAUUUGUAAGUUUUAUUUCCUAUCGAGCAACCAAAUCAUGCUCAUUUAGUAUGAGUUGAGAUUUGAUUUGGAAAUAGAAAGCCAUCAUGCAUGAGUUGAGAUUUGAUUUGGAACUAGGCGAUCUCAUCCAUACCCCAAUUAAUCACCACAUGGUAAGAUGCUUGCUUCUCAUCUCAGAUGUUGCAUCUCUACAGUUCACAUCUUCGGUUCAGAGAUUCACCAACCCAUGUACAGAUCGCACGACAGUCCAUACGCUAUGGUAGAUGGCACGACAAUGGGUACUAAGACAUCAAGGUAGCAAAUGGGGCUAAAGCUUUUAAAGGAUCUCGAGUUGCAGUAAGUAACUGUGUGGAUGUGAUGAGGUAAAAUUUGAAAUCUGAGCAUGUGUUUUCAUAUUGUUGCGAGGCCAAUGCUGCUCGUCUCCAAACCAAGGUGCCAUGUGCUGACGAAGAGAGGCUGAGGAUGAUCAUAUUGCAAGGAAUAGAGAUGAUCUUUUUUAUCUUUUUUUAUGCUUCUAGGUUUUAAGAUGUAAUGCUAGAUGUGUCGCUGGAUGUGAACUUGUACAUGAUCUAUUGGAUUUGAUUGUCUUCUGUUUACAGAACUUGUACAAAAUUAUGAAGAUGUCAUUAUGGUUUUUUUUGCUAAUC